rnacentral:rRNA from 1 species
AUGCUACAACCGUCAACAGUGGGAGCUACAAGCAGCGAUGGCGAGAUGGAAAGCUGUGACCAUGGAGUUGAUUUGCUGGGACGGGGGGACGACUGUGGUGGCGGAGUUGCAACGGUGGUUGGUGGUGGAGAUGGGACCGUGCCCCCUGCUUCAUCCACAGGGCCGUCGGGAGCUGCAAUGGCAACCUCGGGCACGACGGCGACCUCACGCACGAAGACGGCGACUUGGUGCAGCGCGCCUGCACGAGCAAACCGACGGCGACCUCGCGCGCGACGACGGCGACUUGGUGCAGCGCGCCUGCACGAGCAAACCGACGGCAAGCGCGGGUCACGGGGCGGCCGACGAGCGUAUGUUGUGCGGCCGUGCGGGAGACCGGCGAGUGCGGAUGAGGUCGAGCGGUUGCGCUGGGCUCUAUCCUCUUCUUCUUUUUUCUUUUUUAUUUAG